rnacentral:rRNA from 1 species
GACGAACGCUGGCGGCGUGCCUAAUACAUGCAAGUCGAACGGUCUUUUCUAUGGAAGCUUGCUUCCACUGAGAAGAUAGUGGCGAACGGGUGAGUAACACGUGGGUAACCUGCCCAUAAGAGGGGGAUAACAUCCGGAAACGGGUGCUAAUACCGCAUAGGUUUCUUGGUCGCAUGAUCGAGAAAGGAAGACGGCCUUUGUGCUGUCGCUUAUGGAUGGACCCGCGGCGUAUUAGUUAGUUGGUGAGGUAAUGGCUCACCAAGACGAUGAUACGUAGCCGACUGAGAGGUGAUCGGCCACAUUGGGACUGAGACACGGCCCAAACUCCUACGGGAGCAGCAGUGGGAAUAUUGCACAAUGGAGGGAACUCUGAUGCAGCGACGCCGCGUGAAGGAAGAAGGUUUUCGGAUCGUAAAC